rnacentral:rRNA from 1 species
UACGAAGGGGGCUAGCGUUGCUCGGAAUCACUGGGCGUAAAGGGUGCGUAGGCGGGUCUUUAAGUCAGGGGUGAAAUCCUGGAGCUCAACUCCAGAACUACCUUUGAUACUGAAGAUCUUGAGUCCGGGAGAGGUGAGUGGAACUGCGAGUGUAGAGGUGAAAUUCGUAGAUAUUCGCAAGAACACCAGUGGCGAAGGCGGCUCACUGGCCCGGUACUGACGCUGAGGCACGAAAGCGUGGGGAGCAAACAGG